GAUGGUGCAGUUGGUAGCACUGUUGCCUUGCAGCCAGAAGGUUCUGGGUUCAAUUCCCUGGCCA